rnacentral:rRNA from 1 species
AACGAACGCUGGCGGCAGGCCUAACACAUGCAAGUCGAGCGCCCCAGCAAUGGGGAGCGGCAGACGGGUGAGUAACGCGUGGGUAUCUACCUAGUGGUGCGGAAUAGCCCAGGGAAACUUGGAGUAAUACCGCAUAAGCCCGAAAGGGGAAAGAUUUAUCGCCAUUAGAUGAGCCCGCGUUGGAUUAGCUAGUUGGUGGGGUAACGGCCCACCAAGGCGACGAUCCAUAGCUGGUCUGAGAGGAUGAUCAGCCACACUGGGACUGAGACACGGCCCAGACUCCUACGGGAGGCAGCAGUGGGGAAUAUUGGACAAUGGGCGCAAGCCUGAUCCAGCCAUGCCGCGUGAGUGACGAAGGUCUUCGGAUUGUAAAGACUC